rnacentral:rRNA from 1 species
UACAGAGGGUGCGAGCGUUGUUCGGAAUUAUUGGGCGUAAAGGGCGCGUAGGCGGUGCGGUAAGUCACCUGUGAAAUCUCCUGGCUCAACUGGGAGCUUGCAGGCGAAACUGCCGUGCUGGAGUGUGGGAGAGGUGCGUGGAAUUCCUGGUGUAGCGGUGAAAUGCGUAGAUAUCAGGAGGAACACCAGCGGCGAAGGCGGCAUCCUGGACUGGUACUGACGCUCAGGAGCGAAAGCGUGGGGAGCGAUCCGG